UGGGGAAUAUUGCACAAUGGGCGCAAGCCUGAUGCAGCCAUGCCGCGUGUAUGAAUAAGGCCUUCGGGUUGUAAAGUACUUUCAGCGGGGAGGAAGGGAGUAAAGUUAAUACCUUUGCUCAUUGACGUUACCCGCAGAAGAAGCACCGGCUACCUCCGUGCCAGCAGCCGCGGUAAUACGGAGGGUGCAAGCGUUAAUCGGAAUUACUGGGCGUAAAGCGCACGCAGGCGGUUUGUUAAGUCAGAUGUGAAAUCCCCGGGCUCAACCUGGGAACUGCAUCUGAUACUGGCAAGCUUGAGUCUCGUAGAGGGGGGUAGAAUUCCAGGUGUAGCGAUGAAAUGCGUAGAGAUCUGGAGGAAUACCGGUGGCGAAGGCGGCCCCCUGGACGAAGACUGACGCUCAGGUGCGAAAGCGUGGGGAGCAAACAGG
rnacentral:rRNA from 1 species